UACGGAGGAGGCAAGCGUUAUCCGGAAUUACUGGGCGUAAAGCGUGCGUAGACGGUUAUUUAAGUCGGGUGUGAAAGCCCCGGGCUCAACCUGGGAAUUGCAUUCGAGACUGAAUAGCUAGGGUACGGUAGAGGGAAGUGGAAUUUCCGGUGUAGCGGUGAAAUGCGUAGAUAUCGGAAGGAACAUCAGUGGCGAAAGCGACUUCCUGGACCAGUACCGACGUUCAGGCACGAAAGCGUGGGGAGCAAACAGG
rnacentral:rRNA from 1 species